rnacentral:rRNA from 1 species
AUUGAACGCUGGCGGCAGGCCUAACACAUGCAAGUCGAACGAGUGGCGGACGGGUGAGUAAUGUCUGGUAAACUGCCCGAUGGAGGGGGAUAACUACUGGAAACAGUAGCUAAUACCGCAUACCAUCGGAUGUGCCCAGAUGGGAUUAGCUAGUAGGUGGGGUAACGGCUCACCUAGGCGACGAUCCCUAGCUGGUCUGAGAGGAUGACCAGCCACACUGGAACUGAGACACGGUGCAGACUCCUACGGUAGGCAGCAGUGGGGAAUAUUGCACAAUGGGAGCAAGCCUGAUGCAGCCAUGCCGCGGGUAUGAAGAAGGCCUUAGGGUUGUAAAGUACUUUCAGCGAGGAGGCGUUACUAGCAGAAGAAGCACCGGCUAACUCCGUGCCAGCCGCGGCGGUAAUUC